UCCUUGGUGGUCCAAUGGUUAAGACUCUGUGCUUGCAGGGCAGGGGGCCUGGGUUCAAUCCCUGGUCAGAGAA
rnacentral:tRNA from 1 species